GACGAACGCUGGCGGCGUGCUUAACACAUGCAAGUCGAACGGAAAGGCCCUGCUCUUGUGGGGUGCUCGAGUGGCGAACGGGUGAGUAACACGUGAGUAACCUGCCCUUGACUUUGGGAUAACUUCAGGAAACUGGGGCUCAUAUCGGAUAGGAGCUCCUGCUGCAUGGUGGGGGUUGGAAAGUUUCGGCGGUUGGGGAUGGACUCGCGGCUUAUCCGCUUGUUGGUGGGGUAGUGGCUUACCAAGGCUUUGACGGGUAGCCGGCCUGAGAGGGUGACCGGCCACAUUGGGACUGAGAUACGGCCCAGACUCCUACGGGAGGCAGCAGUGGGGAAUAUUGCACAAUGGGCGGAAGCCUGAUGCAGCAGCGCCGCGUGCGGGAUGACGGCCUUCGGGUUGUAAACCGCUGUCGCCUGUGACGAAGCGUGAGUGACGGUAAUGGGUAAAGAAGCACCGGCUAACUACGUG
rnacentral:rRNA from 1 species